UACAGAGGUUGCAAGCGUUAAUCGGAUUUACUGGGCGUAAAGCGUGUGUAGGUGGUUAUACAAGUCGGUUGUGAAAUCCCCGGGCUCAACCUGGGAACUGCUUCCGAGACUGCAUGACUAGAGAUCGGUAGAGGGUGGUGGAAUUCCCGGUGUAGUGGUGAAAUGCGUAGAGAUCGGGAGGAACACCCGCGGCGAAGGCGGCCACCUGGACCAGACCUGACGCUGAGGCGCGAAGGCCGGGGGAGCGAACGGG
rnacentral:rRNA from 1 species